rnacentral:rRNA from 1 species
AGAACGAACGCUGGCGGCAUGCCUAAUACAUGCAAGUCGAACGAACUCUUCGGAGUUAGUGGCGCACGGGUGCGUAACGCGUGGGAAUCUGCCCCUUGGUUCGGAAUAACAGUUGGAAACGACUGCUAAUACCGGAUGAUGACGAAAGUCCAGAGAUUUAUCGCCAAGGGAUGAGCCCGCGUAGGAUUAGCUAGUUGGUGAGGUAAAGGCUCACCAAGGCAACGAUCCUUAGCUGGUCUGAGAGGAUGAUCAGCCACACUGGGACUGAGACACGGUCCAGACUCCUACGGGAGGCAGCAGUAGGGAAUAUUGGACAAUGGGCGAAAGCCUGAUCCAGCAAUGCCGCGUGAGUGAUGAAGGCCUUAGGGUUGUAAAGCUCUUUACCCGAGAUGAUAAUGACAGUAUCGGAGAAUAAGCCCGGCUAACUCCGUGCCAGCAGCCG